rnacentral:rRNA from 1 species
CCUACGGGAGGCAGCAGUCGGGAAUAUUGCGCAAUGGAGGAAACUCUGACGCAGUGACGCCGCGUAUAGGAAGAAGGUUUUCGGAUUGUAAACUAUUGUCGUUAGGUAAGAUAAAAGACUGUACCUAAGGAGGAAGCCCCGGCUAACUAUGUGCCAGCAGCCGCGGUUAUACAUAGGGGGCAAGCGUUAUCCGGAAUUAUUGGGUGUAAAGGGUGAGUAGACGGGAGAACAAGUUGGUUGUGAAAUCCCUGGGCUCAACUGAGGAACUGCAAGCAAAAGUAUUCUCCUUGAUUGUCAGAGAGGACAGUGGGAUUCCUAGAUUAGCGGUGAACUGCGUAGAUAUUAGGAGGAAACCCAGUGGCGAAAGCGACUUUCUGGACGAUAACUGACGUUGAGGCACGAAAGUGUGGGGAGCAAACAGGAUUAGAUACCCUAGUAGUC